CGUCUUAGGUGGUCCAUUCGGAAAGUCCAAUUUUGGGCAACUUUUUCGAGCAUUUCGGCCGGAAUAGCCCGAAUUUCUUCGGAAAUGUUGUCUUCCAAAGCUGGAAUAGUUGCUGGCUUAUUUCUGUAGACUUUAGACUUGACGUAGCCCCACAAAAAAUAGUCUAAAGGCGUUAAAUCGCAUGAUCUUGGUGGCCAACUUACGGGUCCAUUUCUUGAGAUGAAUUGUUGUCCGAAGUUUUCCCUCAAAAUGGCCAUAGAAUCGCGAGCUGUGUGGCAUGUAGCGCCAUCUUGUUGAAACCACAUGUCAACCAAGUUCAGUUCUUCCAUUUUUGGCAACAAAAAGUUUGUUAGCAUCGAACGAUAGCGAUCGCCAUUCACCGUAACGUUGCGUCCAACAGCAUCUUUGAAAAAAUACGGUCCAAUGAUUCCACCAGCGUACAAACCACACCAAACAGUGCAUUUUUCGGGAUGCAUGGGCAGUUCUUGAACGGCUUCUGGUUGCUCUUCACCCCAAAUGCGGCAAUUUUGCUUAUUUACGUAGCCAUUCAACCAGAAAUGAGCCUCAUCGCUGAACAAAAUUUGUCGAACAAACACAGUUCGAACCGAACACUGAUUUUGGUAAUAAAAUUCAAUGAUUUGCAAGCGUUGCUCGUUAGUAAUUCUAUUCAUGAUGAAAUGUCAAAGCAUACUGAGCAUCUUUCUCUUUGACACCAUGUCUGAAAUCCCACGUGAUCUGUCAAAUACUAAUGCAUGAAAAUCCUAACCUCAAAAAAAUCACCCGUUACAACGUAUUGCUGAAAAUACUUUGUGAAAAGAUCACCAGUUUAGACUUGGAGAAAUUGAGCAUACGACCUGAAAAGUACCGUGAUUAAAUUCGAAACACUUGGACUUAGAAUGGCAUCACAUGAUGCAUUAAGGCAUAAAUACUGACAACCUAAUCCUAUUAAUUGCUGUGAAGUCAUCGUAAACUAGUCCUACAACGCAUCUGUAAUUCAGCAAGGCACUAAGGCACUCAUUUCCGCUACGACGGUAUAUCUUACAAAAUUAGUUAUUAAUAUUAGCAAAUGAAAAUUAUAUUAAAAAUUUAAAAUGUAUUCAAUAAAAAAUAACUUAUAUUAGAAAAAUUAUUACGAGUUCGAUCCGCCAAUCUUGUAAUUAAAAAUGUAAUUAACAUGCCCAAAAUUUAUAAUUACUUGAUUUAUUUUGAAGUGUAAACACUUCAACGUGGGCAGUAUGUUCAGAUUUCUGAACAGUUCCUAACGGCUACAAUUGUAAAGAAGAUAUUUUUGUAAAGAUACAAUUGUCAUAGUUCAAAUAUUUAUGUUCAUUAUCGCCAGCGUAUACGAAUCUAGUCUUAAACGUAGAUAUCUAUUUACAAAUACCCAUUUCUAUCAACAAUGCAAUAAAUGUUCAUUUCGGGUAUAUUGAUUAGUGACCUUAGUAUUUAAUGUAUGCAAUGUAAAGGAUCGUUUGCCCUUGAGACCGCAAAUGAUCCUAAACGAAUAAUAGCUAAAAAACAAUUCUGUCUGCCCUUGAGAUCGCAAAUGAUCCUAAACUAACAAUAGGCAAGAAACAAUUGUGUUUGCCGUUGAGAACACUUAUGUUUAAGAUAUGUGUACAUACUUCGGUAUGUACAGUAGAUUAGUGUUAAGAUGUGUGUAUGCACUCAGCAUGUGGUGCAUACAUGAAUUAGGAUAAGGAAUGCUAUAAAUAAAGGAGCUUUGGGCAACCAGAGCUGAGUACUAUUUUAAUAUCGAAUCAAACGCGUCUCAUUUAACAAUAUCUAUAUUCUAUUCAGACAGAAAUCUGAUUAUCUCUAAUUUAUGUUGGUUACACCGUUAGAAUUCCAUAUACAGAUAUUUACUUUAUAAACAACGUUUUUUGGUUUCUGUUCCGGUGUACAGAAAAGAUUGUUUUCCAACUCGUGAGCACGCCACGGCCGUGUGAAAAACGUAGCAUUUCCUCAUUUAUGCCGGAAUACGUUUGAACUGAAAUGGAAAAUCGUUAGAACUUAAAGGAAUUCUUAGAAUCAAGCAUUCUCCCCCUUGUAUUCGGCGCAUGAAGGUUGCAAAACAAAAUAACGACGGAUCCUACUUUGAGACGCAAAUGAUGCGGUGGCAUACCAAGCCUGUCCAAAGAAUUUAGAAAUACCACUGGAUAAUUCACGGCGUCGUCUUCAUUGUCAAGACGAUCGAACGAUUUGUAUGAGCGUAAGUCUCCCGGAAUUUGACUUUGAAUCUUCCAGUUUAAGUGAACAACAUCGGUAUUUUGGGCAGCUAACAUUGCGCGUGCACUUAAGGAAUCGUAGUUACGAUAAUUUAGCCAUUGUCCGAACAUUUGUGAUGAGUUCAUCUUUCGUUAAUUGAUAUCGAGCCACCGGAAGUAUCAACCGAAAUUGUACCAUUUCCAAUUUUUAGCGAAGACGAUGUAAAAUGUCUUUGGGAAUGUCGAUGUUUAUAUCGAAAAGUAUGCGAACUUCAUUUUCAUUCCAGUGAUUAACGUGUUCCAGCAAAUGUAAUUGCUGGCUUACUUCUCCAAUUCUUGCACACAUCGAACCAUUCACAGUAAGCAAUGACUCAAAUAUAGUUGAACUGCGUACAUUAAUCAAUAGCACCCGAAGGUAGAAACAAUCGUCGUUUUUCGGAUGGAUUGUGUAAAUUCGUCCUAAUGCAUUAGACACCUGGUUGUCAAUCUACUGGUUGGCCUUGCUUUCUGCGUAACUAUUUCUGCGACGAUGCAUUCUAUGUAUAAUAUCAAGGUAUUUCCGAAUAGAGCAAUGUUCUCACAAACGGAUCACUGACGAAAGUUGAGAAAAAGCUUGACAAUGUUAAUUUUAUUGCUGGCGAUGUUUCCACUGGCUAUACUGUAUUCUCUGGGUUGAAAUACACCUUUUGCCCAUUCUCCAAAUUAACUGCGAGACGCACAACAGUCGGAAAAUGUUCAUGAAUUGCAAAAGUAAAUAUCCUACAAAGCGCUUUAUUGCAGUUCACGUAUCGACCGUAUCGUUCAAGACCAAUAAUCGCCAUGUUGCUUCCUUUGGUGACGUACUUACAAACGUAUUUUAUCGAUUUCACCAAACUGCAAUACUAAACACUGAUAUGAGUUUUGAAUAUGAAUCAGACAAUAAUGGUGAAUAUAGUACGAUCCAUGUGUUGUCAACUUCGAUAUUCACUCUUCUAAGUUGAAUGCUGAAUGUUCUGUUAUCUGGUGAGCGACGCCGAUAGAGUUGAUAUCCAUCAUUUCCAGUUUAUGUUUCCAAAAGAAAAGCACGUGGAUACUGGGCCUCAUGCAUAAAAACGAGUAAAAGCGCUGAGUUGAGUCAAGUGAGCAAUUGCUCGUAAGUUGAGUUCGAUCAAACAGCAACAGCUCUUACUCAAUUUCGUAUGCAUAAAAAUGAGUUCAAACCAAUUACAAUUACUUGAGCAAACGGAGAUCAAACCUCUACGCGCAAACUUGUCGUCAAGUGGAAGUGAAUUUGAAGUAGAGCUAAAAAAUAAUAAUAAAAUGGAAAUUGACGAUAUUUCAAAUUUUUUGGUAGACAAAAUAAAAGAAAAUAAAUAUUUACUAGAAAAAAGUCAGUUACCAAGCAUAAAAAGGAAAAAAAAACAAGCAAUAGAAAUAUGUGUGAAAGAAAUUUGGCAAAAAUUUGGAAUGGAACUGUCGGAGAAAAACAUUAUAAAAAAAAUAGCAAACAUGAAAUGUCGGGUUAAAAGUAAAAUAGACAUAAAUAAAACAGGCAAUAAAAAGAUUAUUUUAAAAACCUGGGAAGCAGAAUUAUCCUCAUUGCUUUUUUCUGAUUCUAAUCCCUCAACAAACAAACUUCCUGUCCAUCUCUUUCUUGGAAGCAAUGGCGACAACUGUACGCUGUCUGUCAAUACAUUAGAAGAGACAUCAGCAACAACAACAUCAGAAACAAAAACAACAGUAACAUCAGCAGCAAAACAGCAAAGAAAGCUCCGUUGCACUGAUAGCGACGAUCAAACUGUUUACAAAAAGUCAACAGCAAUUUUGAGUCGUUAUGAGACUGAUGAGACAAGGGAGUUAAAUUUUCAAAAGCUGCAGAGGCUUGUUUUGUUAAAGCAAAACAAAGUUCUUUCCGCAAAAUUACAGAUUUUGCAAGAAAAACUUGUGGAAAGAGGGUUGGAGUUCCGUGAAUGAUUACAAUUAUUAAUAUAUAAUUAAUUAAUAUUAUAUUUUUGUAAAUAUGUACAUAUUUUAUUAUUAUUUUUAUUCGUUAAAUAGUGAAUUACAUUUAUUUUGUUUUUGUAUAAAAAAGUAAAUUUUAUUAAUGUUAAUUGUUUUUAUAAACCAAAAAAAAAAAACAUUCAUUUAUUUUAAUUUGAUAAUAAAUUUGCGAUCAUCCGCCUUUUGUUUUUUCCAGCUUCUGAAAGUCUUGUCGUUUGUUGUUCGAUAUAAUUUCCUAAUCGCCAUACAUCAUUAUUGUUGUAAUCGUCGUUGAUUGGAAUGUAAUCGUCUUUUAAAAAUUUAGCUAUGUUAUGUAAAAUGAAACAACUAGCUAUUACGUGAGGCGCCAGCUCUGUCGAUACACGAAUUUUGUAUUGAAGUAUCGAAAAUCUUUGCUUCAAUUGCCCAAAACACCGCUCUAUAAUGACACGUUCCUUUGUAAACACUUUGUUGAAUUUUUUUCUCAUUCAGUUGUUGGGUUCCGGAAUGGUGUCAUUAGCCAUGGACAUAUCCCAUAGCCCUCAUCCCCGAGAAGUAAUGCAUCGUUUGUUACACUUUGCAUUAUCCUACAUACCUCGCUGUUUCGUAGGAUGCGUGAAUCGUGAACUGAUCCAGGCCAGGAUAAGUCAACGCUAGUAAAUAGUUCUUUUGCAUCGCAAGUGGCCUGCACAUUUAUAGAGUGGAAGCCUUUUCUGCAAAUAUAUUCGUCGCUUUGACUUUUGGGUUUUUUUAUUUUUAUGUGAGUGCAAUCAAUAGCUCCAAUUGCAAAUGGAAAGAAAUAAUUUGCUUGCCAUUUCCUUUGAGCAUCUUUUAUUGCAUCUCCAUCUUUCGGGAAUUUUAUCCACUCGCUUGCUUUAGAAGAUAUAAGUUUCGCAACUUCCGCAAUAAUUCGCGACACAGUUGAUUGAUGGACACCAAUAUCUGUGGCUAUACCAUUUUGGAAUCCAGGAUCUGCACAAAAUCUUAAAUAUAGUCGAAUUUCAUCAAUGUUGCUGAGGGCACCACCACGUGCU